UGCCUAGGAAUCUGCCUGGUAGUGGGGGAUAACGUUCGGAAACGGACGCUAAUACCGCAUACGUCCUACGGGAGAAAGCAGGGGACCUUCGGGCCUUGCGCUAUCAGAUGAGCCUAGGUCGGAUUAGCUAGUUGGUGGGGUAAUGGCUCACCAAGGCGACGAUCCGUAACUGGUCUGAGAGGAUGAUCAGUCACACUGGAACUGAGACACGGUCCAGACUCCUACGGGAGGCAGCAGUGGGGAAUAUUGGACAAUGGGCGAAAGCCUGAUCCAGCCAUGCCGCGUGUGUGAAGAAGGUCUUCGGAUUGUAAAGCACUUUAAGUUGGGAGGAAGGGUUGUAGAUUAAUACUCUGCAAUUUUGACGUUACCGACAGAAUAAGCACCGGCUAACUCUGUGCCAGCAGCCGCGGUAAUACAGAGGGUGCAAGCGUUAAUCGGAAUUACUGGGCGUAAAGCGCGCGUAGGUGGUUUGUUAAGUUGGAUGUGAAAUCCCCGGGCUCAACCUGGGAACUGCAUUCAAAACUGACUGACUAGAGUAUGGUAGAGGGUGGUGGAAUUUCCUGUGUAGCGGUGAAAUGCGUAGAUAUAGGA
rnacentral:rRNA from 1 species